rnacentral:rRNA from 1 species
AGGGAAUCUUCCGCAAUGGACGAAAGUCUGACGGAGCAACGCCGCGUGAGUGACGAAGGCCUUCGGGUCGUAAAACUCUGUUAUCAGGGAAGAACAAGCAUCGUUUAACUGACGGUGCCAUGACGGUACCUGACCAGAAAGCCACGGCUAACUACGUGCCAGCAGCCGCGGUAAUACGUAGGUGGCAAGCGUUGUCCGGAAUUAUUGGGCGUAAAGCGCGCGCAGGCGGCUUCUUAAGUCUGAUGUGAAAGCCCACGGCUCAACCGUGGAGGGUCAUUGGAAACUGGGAGGCUUGAGUGCAGAAGAGGAGAGCGGAAUUCCACGUGUAGCGGUGAAAUGCGUAGAGAUGUGGAGGAACACCAGUGGCGAAGGCGGCUCUCUGGUCUGUAACUGACGCUGAGGCGCGAAAGCGUGGGUAGCGAAC